CUGAGACAAGUUUCGCAUGUUUUAGUUAGUAUAACCAAUUGUGUCCUAUCAAUAAAGGGUCGUCUGUUGUCUGCUCUCAAGAUUACAGGCAUCCGUCUACUUCAAUCUCCUCAAAUGGUGACCCCGACGUGAUAGCGGGCCGAGAAAACGCUGGAAUUGCUGGAAGUGCGUCCGGAGGAGACUCUAGCCGAACGAUCGUCUAGCCAGCUGGACUGAGCGGACAACCUUCUCCCGGGAGAUCAAUCACCCUGCUUGUUUGGAAGUAAGGUGUAGCUCUGCCACCUCGAGAUACCCCAUCUCCGGGAAACUACAAGAAGAGUGCGAGGAGCGGUGCGAUGACCCCAACAGCUCCGAAAGGAUCCCAGAACGGCGCCAAGAAGGAUGUCUGGCAGAAUUGCCAGCCCGAACAGCUGGAAGUGCCGGAGUGGAUGUCUCAACAAUAGAAACCAUUCUACUAUGGAACUCUCAGAUUUCGAAGGAAAGAUAGAUAUUCAUCUUCCUGCACACAAAAUGUUUACCUUGCUACAAAAUAUACAAGUAGAAGAAAAAGAAUUGUGUGCAGAGUUACCUACUGAUGGUCCUACAGUAUUUACGGAUGGCAGUGGAAAAACAGGAAAGGCAGUAGUAGUUUGGAAAGAAGGUCAGAAAAUGGGCCGAAGUGGAUUCCAACUAAAUGGAUGAAACCUUAUGCUGAGAUUGAUAUGGAACACGCUGACUGUAGUAAGCAGCAUGACAGUGGCACCGGUGAUUGAUCCACAUCAUUUAACACCGUGGGACAGUAAGAAUGUUUGGGUGACACUGACAAAAGCUAUUAAUCAAACCUCUUUUUGUGUGUCAUUGGCAUUACCUGAACAGUCUUUUAUUCUUAUGUAUUUUAUUAGGUAUAAUGUUGCUUUUGCUGUGUUUAAUUAGCUGUGUUCAUAGGUUUUUGCAAAG